AUUGAACGCUGGCGGCAGGCCUAACACAUGCAAGUCGAGCGGAUGAAGGGAGCUUGCUCCUGGAUUCAGCGGCGGACGGGUGAGUAAUGCCUAGGAAUCUGCCUGGUAGUGGGGGCUAACGUCCGGAAACGGGCGCUAAUACCGCAUACGUCCUGAGGUAGAAAGUGGGGGAUCUUCGGACCCCACGCUAUCAGAUGAGCCUAGGUCGGAUUAGCUAGUUGGUUGGGUAAAGGCCUACCAAGGCGACGAUCCGUAACUGGUCUGAGAGGAUGAUCAGUCACACUGGAACUGAGACACGGUCCAGACUCCUACGGGAGGCAGCAGUGGGGAAUAUUGGACAAUGGGCGAAAGCCUGAUCCAGCCAUGCCGCGUGUGUGAAGAAGGUCUUCGGAUUGUAAAACACUUUAAGUUGGGAGGAAGGGAAGUAAGUUAAUCCCUUGCUGUUUUGACGUUACCAACAGAAUAAGCACCGGCUAACUUCGUG
rnacentral:rRNA from 1 species